rnacentral:lncRNA from 1 species
CCCGUAAGCUUGGUCGAGUGAAUGAUUUGAACUCGAAGUAAUGUAGCCCGUAGGCUUAAUGGUCGAGUGUGUGUUUGCUCAAACUUGAAACAAAAAUAGCUCAUAGGCUUGGUCGUGUGAAUGAUUCGAACUCGAAGUAAUGUAGCACAUAGGCUUAAUGGUCGAGUGAGUGUUUGCUCGAACUCGAAAUAAAAAUAGCCCGUAGGUGUAAUGGUCGAGUGAGUGUUUGCUUGAACUCGAAAUAAAAAUAGCCCAUAGGCUUGGUCGAGUGAAUGAUUCGAACUCGAAGUAAUGUAGCCCGUAGGCUUAAUGGUCGAGUGAGUGUUUGCUCGAACUCGAAAUAAAAAUAACCCGUAGGCUUAGUCGAGUGAAUGAUGCGAACUAGAAGUGAUGUGGCCCGUAGGCAUAAUGGUCGAGUGAGUGUUUGCUGGAACUCAAAAUAAAAAUAGCCCGUAGCUUUGGUCGAGUGAAUGAUUCGAACUCGAAAUAAUGUAACCCGUAGGCUUAAUGGUCGAGUGAGUGUUCGCUCAAAAUCGAAAUAAAAAUAGCUCAUAGGCUUUGUCGAGUAAAUGGUUCGAACUCGAAGUAAUGUAGCCCGUAGGCUUAAUGGUCGAGUGAGUGUUCGCUCGAACUCGAAAUAAAAAUAGCUCGUAGGCUUGGUCGAGUGAAUGAUUCGAACUCGGAAUAAUGUAGCACGUAGGGUUAAUGGCGGAGUGAGUGUUUGAUCGAAUUCGAAAUACAAAUAUCCCGUAGGCUUGGUCGAGUGAAUGAUUCGAACUCGAAGUAAUGUAGCACGUAGGCUUAAUGGUCGAGUGAGUGUUUGCUCGAACUCGAAAUAAAAAUAGCCCGUAGGCUUGGUCGAGCGAAUGCUUUGAACUCGGAGUAAUGU